GCUUUUCUUGAUGUAUUUUCUCAAUUUUUUCCCUUCAGAGAGAAGAUCACUAUUAAUUUAAGUGGGCUGAGGAGCAGCUCAGAUGGAUGGGUUUGGUUACUCUCCAGUGACAUCCAUGCAGUUUAUUACAUAAGCAGUUUACUGCAGUGAAGUCAUUGCACUGCGUCCAGCCUCAGAGCAGCCUCCUCAGCUCCUGUUUAACCACUUCCCUCCAAACAGAUAAAUGAGCAGCGCGGGGGGCGGACACGGACAGAGCACUGAGGAGAGCUCAGGAUUGCCAGGCAGCUGAUUAUCUCCAAGUUUGUUGGUGAGAGAGCGCUCUGCCCCAGCGCGGCGGAGCCAAACCCGGAGGGGCAGCAGGAGAAUCACGCACCGAGGUCAAACCCCGCGAACGGGGAUGGAUGGAUGGAUGGAUGGACGGAUGGAUAAAGCAGCGCGGAGCGGAGCGCGGCUCCCGCAUCUCCUCGGGACGCGCCGCCUCACCUGGAGAGCGGGGCAGUUUUGUGUAAAUAUUAGCAGAAAGCGAAGGCGAGGAGCUCCGCAGCCGCCUUUGAUGCGGCUCCCGCGGCGGUGGCGGGCGCACAAAGGAGGAGCUGGGGCCGGAGCGGGCAGCGCUGGCAGCCGCAGCCGCAUUGAGCAGCCCCGGGCCCGGCUCGGGCUGGCGCGACGCUGCCGCACACGCUGAUAACGCUGUAAUAGUCCUCCUUUGAGGACCGGGGCUCCUGUGUGCUGAUUACCCAUUUAUCACACCUGGCAGCCCUGCUGAACUAUAAUUACUCUUCUCUUAUCCUGCUGCACUGUCAUGUCCGAGAGGAGAAGAGAGGCAAAGGCUCCUGCUAAUGACACAUUACCCUCUUGACAAGCACUUGAAGGUUUUAUUGUAAAUAUUCAAGAUAUAAAACAUCUGAGAUUCCCUUUUUAAUUAUAAAAAGCAAUUUUCCGUGCCUCCCUCCGCCACCAAUGGUAAAGUUUAGGCGCCGUUAUCCUUCGCUUCCUGCAAACAAACCCGGCUCCUUUGUCACCUUAACUCAUUGCUGGGAGGGAACUCCGGUAUCUCGGGGAAAUUAUCAAAUGGAACGCCUGGAAAAUGUGCCAUUUGAACACACAGCGCUCUCCUACAAAAGUUACAUUGCUUCUCCCCCCCACCCCCCAAAAGAGGGGAAAAUGUGCAUUUAUAUUAAGAAAUUAGGAAGAGGAGGAAGGAGAGAAAAAGUCCUGAGCAAAUGGGUGGCGAGCAAGUCUUUCAUUGGGUGGCUCUUGGGAGAUGUGCCUCUUAUUGAGAGGAAAGGUCUUGCAUAAACUAAAGAUAUGUGAGGUGCUGUGGUUUAUCCAGCCUAUUUAUUGGUCUCCAGAUGGAGGGCUGUGAAGCCAAAGACUUAUUCCCCCUUGCUCUCAUUAUCAGCUGUGAGUUGUGCAAGUUAAAGAAGCCAUGGGAUUCCUCAAAAAAGUAGGGAAUCCUAAACAUUGUGAUAUGGAAAACUAAAAACCUGAACAAUCUUUAAUCUGAGAUACACAAGGCAGUUGUUAACACUCCAGCCUCUACAAGGAUUGUAUCAAGCCUUAUUAUAUGUUAUAUGCUGUUAUAUGUUAUGUUAUAUGUUCAUUCCUACACCCAUAAUGGCAUAAAGUGUUCUAACAACAAAGUACAGAAGAAUUGCUGUAAAUCUUGGAAUUUGCCUAACCUACAGUUUUUCACCCCAUAAGCUUGAUAGCUAGGCUGAUUUUACUCUCAGCUAAAAAAAAAAUGCCCAAACAGAUAGCAAAAAAGCUAUAGGAAAAAAAAAAGCUGAAAACGGAAAUAAAUCUAUUUAUGUGCAUUCACAAGUCCACCAAGAAAACCAAAUUGCAAUCUGUCUGUUAAAAAACAAGGAGUCUUUAAGCAUUUCAGAGGGACCUGACUGAAGACAGGGCACUGUGCAAAAGGAAUCCACAGACAUUUCAUUCCAAACCUUCUCAUUACCCCUCUGUGCAGCAGCAGUCUGCUCAAACUUGGCUUAUUUACUGAUCUUCCUUGAAUUCUAAGGGUUGCCCACAGUGAGAGGAAAGAUGAUGUGACAGAUACAGGAACUGUCCAUUAGAAAUUGGUGCUCUGAGUCCUUGCCUAGUUUGCUUAACAAGUGUAAUGGCUGUGAUGGCCACCCUGACAAGAUUGGAUGUGGGUUCCUUGUGAGGAGCACAGCACCACCUCAGUGAUGGCCAGGGAGCAGCAGUACAUGACAUGCUGCUCUGGGAAUGGAAAACAUUUAAUGAACAUAAAUGCCCUUCCAGAUAGACAUUCACAAGGAUGGAAAACAGCAGCAAUAAAAGUCACUCAGGCUCACAUAUCACAACUCAAGGCUGUGCUUGGAGCAGGCACACGAUUUAAAACAAUGGAUACAACAGCUAUUUUCUAACAAAUCACAUGGAUUUGUAUACGUGACUGCUGUGUAAAAUACAUUGAAAUAAUUAAAGUUAUUUGUUGCUAUUAGAAGUAAAUGAUUCAAACUAAUAUUAGAUUACAAAUUACUGAACCCCCAAAUGCCCAAUCUUGGUAUCCUGUGGUUCCUGCUUUGGGGUGAAAUACUCAUUAGCACUCCACACGCUCUUAAUAAAAGAAAUUGCAGCGGUCAGGCUUAAAAUGACCAUUUCCCCCAUCUAUUCACAACGAUUUGAGGUUCCUAGACUGAAAUAUUAACAGCCUUGCUGAACCAGAAUUAUUCUGCUUCUCUCGCUUUCUGCCUGCUUCUGUCAGAAAGCCACGGAGCAUAGAAUGGCAGCGCACAGCUAACCAGAUAAUUGAUAUCUCCCCAGCCUAUUCACGGUGGGAACCUGUCAGUUAGAGUCUAAAGACACAUAGGCACGCUAUGAAAAUGAACUUACAUAAGUCUCCCUGUGAACUGAAUGCAGCCAACAUUUUGAUGUUUAAUUGGCUGGGUCCGGUUUACCAGCGCACACGUGUACGGCAGGGCUGCGCGCCGCACUCCAGCUCCUCCUGACAGAUCUAUUUAGUCAGGAGGAGGUGUAUUUUCCCAAGGUAAUUGCUCAGAAUCAUGCUUCCAAAGUCAAACUGAUUCAAACUUUGCUUAUUCACUCCUUGCAGACACGCGAGCAGGACUGUUUGAAAGCAAAUGAAAAAUCCAUAGAUCGAUGUACGGAGCCUUCCCCACACAGUGCCACGGAGGGAGUCUAUUUCAAACAGGGCUGGUUGUCAGCAGCAGUUACUGCCAGCAUCUUUUUAAAUAUACAUCUUUCAGAGCAAUGCAGGUCUUUGAGAUAAUGAAAGAUUUGCAACUACUAUAUUAUCCACUGAGAAGAAAUACACAGACUCAAAUUGGGCGCACUCCAACACGUAGGUCCCUACUAAGUAUGAGGAAAAAAUAAUUGACAGUUAUUCAAGUAUUUGUGAAUAUUUUUUACCUAGACUGAUUCCCCUAAUUAAUAGGGCAUGUCUGAUAAAGUGUGAUUUUUAGAGACUUUUUCCUGUGGGCUUAGUGGCUUGAUGUGAAAGCAUUUGGAAAUCAUUUCCUUACACCUGACAUGGCAUACACAAUCCCAAAUUACUCAUUUUGCACUUCUUUGGCUUCAAACCAACAACUUUAAAAAGGCUUAGACUGUCUCAUCACUUAUAUGUCACAAAGACUAGGGAUAAAGCUCAUGUUUUACUUGUCUGCACAGCAGAACAGGUUCUAGGUCUUUCUAUUGCUGAAGCAAAUAUCUACUCAGUAUUUCCUAAAGUUUCUCAUCUAUUUAGACAAUCAAGACAUAUUUGACUCUAUUUUCUCUCUCCCCUCAAGACUAUAAAGAAAUUUAAUGAUUUCCAGAGAUGUUGGUCUCAUUCUGAAUCCAAAACAUAGCACUGUAACAGCUACUGGGAUGAAAUUAACACUGUGCUAGCUGAAACCAGGACACCAAGUCAUGACUCAAAAUCAUUUUGAUGGAGAACCUUUAGCAUCUGUGCUGCUGAAAGAAGGACAGCAGCUUACAGAAAAUUUUAAUCACAGGGAGAGGCAAAAUCUGUGUUACACAGGGUGUUUGCACCACAGCAUCCACAAGCAGCUUCCUCUGCCAAAGCUUGGAUCAGGACAGCGUUCCCAUUGUGCUGACAAUGCCUUUGAUAACUUUGAGAGGCAGUAAAACCUGGACAGAGAACACCGGCAACUGUGUUGGGGAAAGGAAACACAACCUCUUCUGCACCCCCUGGGUUACAAACCUUUAUGGUUUCUUGGUUGUAGAUGGUACUAUCACAUUUUCCCACCAUACCCUAUCAACUUGUCUUUACUCACCCAGGAUUUAUAAAGAUGACACUGUGGCACAUCUGGAGGGAGAGCUAUAGGGACCAUGAAGGAUCAGCUCUCUGCUCCCAAAACUAAAGCACUUCUUUCUGACACCACUCCCAGAGUGUCCCUUCAGGCCCUUCCUUUUCCAAGAUAAUUACACAAAGGACUGUGUCACUCACAGCCUCCCUCCUUCAUCUCCUGGAGCACAACACGCCUCCAAACCUGCAGGGCCUGCUUACAAUUCAGGUACACAUAGGAGUAUUUUUCCAAUUUAUGUAGGGUUUUUUUUUUCCUCUUCUGAAAAUAUAAGCUAAUGGAAAAAUAUUUUUACACAUUAUUAAUGCACAUUAAUGAUAAAACUAGUGAGCAUUAGUUCCAGAAGGGCACAUUUUCGGUAAUGAUGAGGAACGAUGUAUAAAUUAACAUUACACAGCUCCAUAGGUCCAUUUCUGGCCCAACCAUGAUUAAAUUAGCUACAAAAAGGUACUUGACACAACCAGUGUGACACUUGACUGAAUUUGGGAGUCAUGUAGGGAUCUCACUAAAAACCAGGAUGCUCAAUAAUCCAUCUUACAAUAGUGACCACGUUCAUGUGUAUUAUUUAAUACCAUGGGGUGCUUAUUCCAUUGUUAAUGUUUUAACAAAACAAAAUAAAUUGCGCUUUCACCUCCCACCACAGCUCUGCUAAUAAACUGGAGUUUUUCCCAAAUGCAUGGCCUUGAAACAAUAAAUUCCUAAGCUUUUCACAGAACCAGUUUUUAAUAAGGCAUAGCAUGUUUUAGAGAUUCCUGCUAUCAGUCUCUUAACACAUUUAAUUUGACUCAUCAGAUAGUCAUAUUUCACCAUCUGAUCUGGAAGCUGGUUAAUCAAUUAAUUGGUUUAUUCCUAUAUAUUUCAGUACAUUUUACUGAAUUCAAUAAAUGACUGCUUUAUCAAUUCA